UACGUAGGGUCCAAGCGUUAUCCGGAAUCACUGGGCGUAAAGCGUGCGUAGGUGGAUGUUUAAGUGUGAUGUUAAAUCGUGUGGCUCAACCAUAUCGAUGCAUCGCAUACUGGGCAUCUAGAGGACAGCAGAGGCAAGUGGAAUUAGCAGUGUAGCAGUGAAAUGCGUAGAUAUUGCUAGGAACACCAAUGGCGAAGGCAGCUUGCUGGGCUACUCCUGACACUGAGGUACGAAAGCGUGGGGAGCGAACAGG
rnacentral:rRNA from 1 species